AAUGAACGUUGGCGGCGUGGAUUAGGCAUGCAAGUCGUGCGGCAGCAGGCCCCGCAAGGGGUGCUGGCGAGCGGCGAAAGGGUCAGUAACACGUGGAUAACCUACCCCCGGGCCCGGAAUAGCGGCGGGAAACUGCCGGUAAUGCCGGAUAAUGUCCCUGGACCAAAGGUGUGAUUCCGUCCGAGGAUGGGUCCGCGUCCUAUUAGCUAGUUGGUGAGGUAACGGCCCACCAAGGCAAAGAUGGGUAGGGGGUGUGAGAGCAUGACCCCCGACACUGGGACUGAGACACUGCCCAGACACCGACGGGUGGCUGCAGUCGAGAAUCUUCGGCAAUGGGCGCAAGCCUGACCGAGCGACGCCGCGUGCGGGAUGAAGGCCUUCGGGUUGUAAACCGCUGUCAGAGGGGCGGAAAUAUGUUGGAGUUCUCUCCAGCAUUUGACUUAACCUCAGAGGAAGCAUGGGCUAAGUUCGUGCCAGCCGCCGCUGUAAUAC
rnacentral:rRNA from 1 species